rnacentral:rRNA from 1 species
GACGAACGCUGGCGGCGUGCUUAACACAUGCAAGUCGAACGGAAAGGCCCUGCUUUUGUGGGGUGCUCGAGUGGCGAACGGGUGAGUAACACGUGAGUAACCUGCCCUUGACUUUGGGAUAACUUCAGGAAACUGGGGCUAAUACCGGAUAGGAGCUCCUGCUGCAUGGUGGGGGUUGGAAAGUUUCGGCGGUUGGGGAUGGACUCGCGGCUUAUCAGCUUGUUGGUGGGGUAGUGGCUUACCAAGGCUUUGACGGGUAGCCGGCCUGAGAGGGUGACCGGCCGCAUGGGGACUGAGAUACGGCCCAGACUCCAACGGGAGGCAGCAGUGGGGAAUAUUGCACAAUGGGCGGAAGCCUGAUGCAGCAACGCCGGGUGCGGGAUGACGGCCUUCGGGUUGUAAACCGCUUUCGCCUGUGACGAAGCGUGAGUGACGGUAAUGGGUAAAGAAGCACCGGCUAACUACGUG